CAUACCUAUACGUUGCCUCGGCGGAUCAGCCCGCGCCCUGUAAAAAGGGACGGCCCGCCCGAGGACCCUAAACUCUGUUUUUAGUGGAACUUCUGAGUAAAACAAACAAAUAAAUCAAAACUUUCAACAACGGAUCUCUUGGUUCUGGCAUCGAUGAAGAACGCAGCAAAAUGCGAUAAGUAAUGUGAAUUGCAGAAUUCAGUGAAUCAUCGAAUCUUUGAACGCACAUUGCGCCCGCCAGUAUUCUGGCGGGCAUGCCUGUUCGAGCGUCAUUUCAACCCUCAAGCUCAGCUUGGUGUUGGGACUCGCGGUAACCCGCGUUCCCCAAAUCGAUUGGCGGUCACGUCGAGCUUCCAUAGCGUAGUAAUCAUACACCUCGUUACUGGUAAUCGUCGCGGCCACGCCGUAAAACCCCAACUUCUGAAUGUUGACCUCGGAUCAGGUA
rnacentral:rRNA from 1 species